rnacentral:lncRNA from 7 species
UCUCGUAGCAACGCGUAGAAUAUUAUUAUUUAGUUUGUACUUAUGGUUGGUGUGAUGUUGAUUUUAUCUAUACCAUGUUUGCUUGUAUUGCUACGACUAGCGCGAGGACACGUGUCAUCUGAAAAGCAGUUGGUACCUGGAAUCUCAAGUGUCAGGCAAGUUGUGCCCUUGAUUCACUUUUGUUACCUAAUAAUGUUCUUUAUAAUCAUUUACCAUGCAUAGGUUUAAUUUUGAUGGGACCCAAUAGGUCACCCUAGAUUGUUUAUCUCAUUACCUUGUUUGCCCCUGAAUCACAUGGGUAGUUUUUGCUAUUGUUUUAUAUGGUUUUGGGAUAAUCAUUUAUUAUAUCCAUGUUCCAGUUAUUAUGUUAUUUUAUUUAUGUUCAUGACAAGAUUAUUAUAUUAUUGUUAAUUGGAACAUGGAGCUUAACUUGAGAAACACGUGCCACCACAAGGGAGGAAUGGGACCCCUUGGCUGACUAAUUAGGAAAGCUAGUGGAAGACUACCUUACCCGAAAGGGGCAAGGGCAGUAGGGGAGUUGCAUGCAAGGAGGUUCUCGGGUUGAUUUGCUGCGAUGGCGGUCAGACGGGGGAUUCUUGCAAGUGCUCUUCCCAUAAACUGUAGCGGGUUUUCGGAAGCUAGUGGAACUUUGUAAAGACCUCGUAGUGGAUCCCUAGCCAUUCAUCUUGGUAGUGUCUAAGGGCCUAGCUAACCCUGGCGACAUGGGAAACACGACUUGUGGGUAAAGGGUACAACCUCUGGAGAGUGUAAAACUGGUAUACUAGCCGAGCUCACAGUCAUGAGCGGCUCAGGACUCUCCGAUGAUUAAACUAUGAAACCUAAACUCAAUUUGUCAUUUGCAUAUGCAUGGGAUUAUUUAUUAAUUUUGUUCUAUUACUUUUAUUUAAGGUUUGGUAUUUACUUACACUUAGUAAUUGCUAAUAAAAUUUUGACCAACUUAUUAAAAGCAAUGCUCAGCUUUAACCCCUAUUGUUGAUAAGCCUUACACUUCAUGAACUCCCACCUUUGGUGAGUUUAUGCCACAUUAUUCCUCACAACUUGUUGAGCGAUGAACAUGUGUGAGCUCACCCUUGCUGUCUCACACCCCCCACAGGAGAAGAACAGGUGGUCCAAGAGGAGCCGCUUAUCGAGGAGUUUAAUCUGAUCUAGGUGGCGUUUCUCAGUUGAUAUUGGCGUCGACGAUCCUUAGUUCGUUUUAUAUUUAUCUUUUAUUUUGUAAUAAGACUUCCGCUAUGUAAUAAAUACUCUGAUUUUAUUGUGACAUUUAUCUCUAUACACUCUGUUAUUAUAUAUGUUGUCUUAUUUGGC